GGAAAUCUAACCAAUCCUAUGCUCUAUUAGUUAUUAUAUUAAAUGUAAUAUUUUUUGUAUUACUACACAUAUUGCACCACCUUGGUUAAUCACUUAUCUCACUGAUAUAGUCUGAUUUAGUUUCCACUAAAGGUGGUGUUUUUUGGUUAUUGAUGAAUCAUUAAUACAGUUGGCAUCAGGUCUGUGUCCUGGUGUUGACCUGCUGUUACAGUUCACACCUUAGGAGCAGUGGCUUCACGGCUCUCGGGUUACAUAAGGUUACCAAGGCUAUAAAAGAAGAGAGAAGAGUGAGGGAGUGAGGGAGUGAUGCAGUGACGCGUGGGGCUUGCUGCGUUACUGAAUAGGGUGGCAGUUUGUCCAGUCGUCGCCAGUGGAAAAGUGAUUGGAAGAUGAAAACCAAUCCAUUGCUUAGUUACUCGUCAUCACCUGAACGAGAGACAUGAGGAGAGGCCAAGAACACAAGUGAGUAAAAGUAAAACUUUAAAGUUAGCAAAAAGUGUGAAAAUUAUGAAUCUAAACCAAAAAAUUACUGUUGACAAAAUAAGUCUUUGUAAAC